rnacentral:rRNA from 1 species
GACGAACGCUGGCGGCGUGCUUAACACAUGCAAGUCGAACGGAAAGGCCCUGCUUUUGUGGGGUGCUCGAGUGGCGAACGGGUGAGUAACACGUGAGUAACCUGCCCUUGACUUUGGGAUGACUUCAGGAAACUGGGGCUAAUACCGGAUAGGAGCUCCUGCUGCAGGGUGGGGGUUGGAAAGUUUCUGCGGUUGGGGAUGGACUCGCGGAUUAUCAGCUUGUUGGUGGGGUAGUGGCUUACCAAGGCUUUGACGGGUAGCCGGCCUGAGAGGGUGACCGGCCACAUUGGGACUGCGAUACGGCCCAGACUCCUACGGGAGGCAGCAGUGGGGAAUAUUGCACAAUGGGCGGAAGCCUGAUGCAGCAACGCCGCGUGCGGGAUGACGGCCUUCGGGUUGUAAACCGCUUUCGCCUGUGACGAAGCGUGAGUGACGGUAAUGGGUAAAGAAGCACCGGCUAACUACGUG